AUCAAAUAAAGGCAACACAUGGCACUGAAACUUAGCUCUUUGGCCCGUGACCCUCUAGCACAAUGCUCUGCAGAUCUGGUCAGGAAUGAUAAGUGUUAUUGGCAAGUCACAAUUAUGGGACCUAAUAGUCCAUAUCAAGUAGUGCUUACUUUGUGAAAAUUUAUUUUCUUAUAAAUCAACCUAAGGUUGCAUUGAAACCACUUAAGAUUGCACUUAAAAUAAUUUAUCAUCCAUAUGUUAACAGUAACGGCAAUAUUUGUCUUGAUAUUUUAACAUCAAUGUAGUCUGCUUAAACUAUUUCAAAGGUUCUUUUAUCCACUAUUUUCCAGUGCUAUGUGAUCCAAACGAAGAUAACCCUCUACUAUCAGAGAUUGCCUGAAAAUCAAAAACAAAGAAAAAUCAAUAAAAUAUCUUGGGGGCAGUUUCAGAAGUAUGACAUGCAAUGA
rnacentral:lncRNA from 1 species